rnacentral:rRNA from 1 species
AUUGAACGCUGGCGGCAUGCUUUACACAUGCAAGUCGAACGGCAGCACGGGCUUCGGCCUGGUGGCGAGUGGCGAACGGGUGAGUAAUAUAUCGGAACGUACCCAGAAGUGGGGGAUAACGUAGCGAAAGUUACGCUAAUACCGCAUACGAUCUAUGGAUGAAAGCAGGGGACCGCAAGGCCUUGUGCUCCUGGAGCGGCCGAUAUCUGAUUAGCUAGUUGGUGAGGUAAAGGCUCACCAAGGCGACGAUCAGUAGCUGGUCUGAGAGGACGACCAGCCACACUGGAACUGAGACACGGUCCAGACUCCUACGGGAGGCAGCAGUGGGGAAUUUUGGACAAUGGGCGCAAGCCUGAUCCAGCAAUGCCGCGUGGGUGAAGAAGGCCUUCGGGUUGUAAAGCUCUUUUGUCAGGGAAGAAACGGUAGAGGCUAAUAUCCUUUGCUAAUGACGGUACCUGAAGAAUAAGCACCGGCUAACUACGUG